UGUGUAUGUUAUUUGGUUUCUCUUUAUUCUAUAGUUGUUGUCUGCAGGGAUUGAAAAUAUGGAAAAGUUGUCAGGUUUAAGCCAUCUGUUUAUGACAAUUUUCCUGCACAACUUCUCCACAUUUAUGGUGAUCCCUGCCAUCACAGAUGUUACAAUGGCUGCGCUUUGCCCUGGAAGAGAUGAAUGUUCAGUAGCCAUCUACUUGACAGGAUUCCAACAAGCGAUCAUAGGGCUGGGGACAUUGGUGAUGAUGCCUUUGGUAGGAAAUCUGUCGGACAAGUAUGGGAGGAAAGCUUUGCUUGGUUUACCAAUGGGUCUUGCUAUAAUUCCUCUAGCCACAUUGGCAUACAGCAGAACCAGGAGCUUCUUCUACGCAUAUUAUGUGCUUAGGACUCUCACUGCCAUGGUUUGCGAAGGAAGCGUCCACUGCCUCGCUCUUGCUUAUGUGGCGGACAGGGUUCCUGAAGGGCGACGAGCAUCGGCGUUUGGAAUCCUUUCAGGUAUUGGAUCUUCGGCGUUCGUUUGUGGAACACUCUCUACUCGUUUCCUCUCCACUGCCUCCACUUUCCAGGUUGCGGCCUCAGUGGCAAUCGUGGCCUUAGUGUACAUGAGGGUUUUCCUUCAGGAUUCAAUCGUUGAUGGAAACAUUUCCACACCAAUACUCUCCAAUGGAAAGAGCAAAGUUGAUGUGAUUGGAAAUUCAAGUAAGAACGUGCAGAUUUUUAAAACCAUGCCUUCCUUGGAGGAUAUGCUUUGCUUGCUUAAGAGCAGGUUAGUGGUUCUUUCUAAGCGCUUCAUUAUGAUUUAUCAACGCUUUCAGCAAUCGCAAUUUUGAUCAAUUUAUACUGGAAGGGGGGAGAAUUCUUUCAAUAAAUUUCUCAAUAACUUACUUUGGAUGAUAUCUGUAAUCAGCACCAAAUGGCAUGGUUGUGUAGUAGAAAUCUUGUAUCAGCUUCCAGAGUACUAAUCGAUCUACGUUGUGCUUUUCUUUUGGUCUCAAUAAUUAUACAUAAAGUUUAUUCGCAGUGUUACGUUGUCACAAGCUGCUGUGGUUGCAUUUUUCAUCAAUUUUUCGGAAGUUGGCCUUCAUGCUUCGCUAAUGGUACUUCCCUAAUUUCACACAAAUUAGACUUCCCAGUGUUUGUUCUGCAUUUAUAGGAAUGGCCAUAGUUUCAGGUGCCGUUGAACUGUUUUGAACAUCAAAAAGGUACUGGAUUCAAGAUAUUCCUGAUGGUCUUUUGUACUCCUAAGUUCAAGCUAUCUUACCUUGACCUUAGCUCAGGUGUUAUCGCAUGAAUAAACUUAGAUAGGCAUGAUAGGCUUUAAGGCAAUACUAUAGUACUGUAUUCCAUUUCUGGCCAUCUUUCAUGAUUAAACUUCUCUACUUCAAUUUUGGAUCAGUGAACUUCUUUUAUACAAGAUGACAAUUGAAUUAGGGUGCACUUGAUGUUUUAUUAAAAAGAGUGAAUAGGUUUGCUGUUGUUACUUGUUAGUGAUCUACAGUGAACAUUUUGAGUUUCAGUUAAGGAAUAGUCUCAGUAUACAACCAAUUUAUUGGCUGUGGCUUAUCAAAGGACUUUUUGAAGCUGAAAAUCUGCCCUCUGUGAUCCUUUCUGCAACGGCCUGAUGUUGUAUGUCAGUGCACCUAGGAGUGGGAGGUAGUGACCCCUAGUCAUAGUGCUGUAAGUUGUGGACUGCAGUGGGAGGCUUCAUAUAAAUGUGAAUCAAUAUAUAUAUAUAUUUUAUAGAAGGUCAUCUAAAAGUAAAUGCAUACUCAGGAUUUGAAGUCCUGUAUGUGCCUGUAGCACAAACAAGCUGAACAGAUUCAUGCCCUCACCAUAGAGAUCUUAAGUUUUUUAGCUGUGGGAACUGACUUUUAAACUAAGCCUCAAUUAAAUGUUUUGACUCAUUGCAAUAGUGCUUGAUAAAACAAAUUGAAGGUAUUGAAUUUUUUCCCCUAUGCAGUACUACUUAAAGGCACGAUUUCACUUUAAUAAGAAUCAGUUUGCUGACUUAAUGGUAAUUUCUGGGAUUGCUGGGACCAUUUCACAGUUGCUUCUCAUGCCCAUGCUGGCUCCUGCUUUAGGAGAGGGGAGGUUGCUUUCAAUAGGUCUCUUCUUUACAUGCACACAUAUGUUUCUUUACAGCAUUGCGUGGUCCUUCUGGGUACCUUAUGCUGCUGCUAUGCUCUCGAUUUUUUUUGUGUUUUCACAACCAUGUAUGCGGACAAUUGUGUCGAAGCAAGUUGGGACCUCUGAGCAGGGAAAGGCUCAAGGAUGUAUCUCAGGCAUCGGUUCCUUUGCCAAUGUCGUUUCUCCCUUAGUGUUCUCACCUUUAACAGCUUUGUUCCUAUCUGAAAGAGCACCAUUUCAUUUCCCUGGUUUCAGUAUAAUGUGCGUCGGAUUCGCUUCGAUGAUAGCCAUGAUUCAGAGUACCAUGAUGAGGGUGGCUCCUCCCAUUUCAAAUGAGAGAAUCAGUAAUAGCAACUACAUGGAUGCGUAAUCAUGCCAAGAGACUUCAAAAUGCGUUUGUUGCUUUCUACCUUCAUAUUGAGCCCUACUAUUUAUUGUGUGCUAGUGAAAUAGUAUAUUUGUGGGCCUAGAAAAUCUGAACCUGAAAUUGAAACCUAGCACUGUUGGUUGUAGGAGUAGCCAUAAGAUUUAAACCAUUUGAUGUUAUGGAUAGUGAGUAUCUCAUUGUAGUAGCAUUGAGUAGAGGAGACUCAAAAUGUGAGAGCCUAAAAUAUGGAAGUGGAUCAGUGAUAACCGCAGUGGAGUUUGUAUGGCGUCCAUGUCUGUUUAUUAUUAUUUCUUUUGGCAGUCCGUGGUAUUAGUUAGAUGUGGCUAUAAAUAGAAAAGCUCAGUUUGUAUGGCGUCCAUGUCUGUUUAUUAUUAUUUCUUUUGGCAGUCCGUGGUAUUAGUUAGAUGUGGCUAUAAAUAGAAAAGCUCAGUUUGUAUGUUAUGCAAUGAACUUAUAGGUAUGUAUCAGAAACCACAUUCUUCGCAUUGAUAUUGUAUUUCUAUGAUAUGCAUUAGAAACUACAUUCUUGGCAUUGAAUCAGACUGAAAUCAAAUCAUAAUCAUUUGAUUUGAUUCUGAGUU
rnacentral:misc_RNA from 1 species